CAAAGGCAUGUCUGCCUCAGCGUC
rnacentral:rRNA from 4 species